rnacentral:rRNA from 1 species
ACAACAUCAAUUUCAGUGAGAUUACCCGCCAACAUCUAAACGCUAA